rnacentral:rRNA from 1 species
CCUACGGGAGGCAGCAGUGGGGAAUAUUGGGCAAUGGGCGAAAGCCUGACCCAGCAACGCCGCGUGAAGGAAGAAGGCUUUCGGGUUGUAAACUUCUUUUGACAGGGAAGAGCAGAAGACGGUACCUGUCGAAUAAGCCACGGCUAACUACGUGCCAGCAGCCGCGGUAAUACGUAGGGGGCAAGCGUUGUCCGGAUUUACUGGGUGGAAAGGGCGUGUAGCCGGGCUGACAAGUCAGAUGUGAAAUCCGGGGGCUCAACCCCCGAACGGCAUUUGAAACUGUUGGUCUUGAGUAUCGGAGAGGCAGGCGGAAUUCCUAGUGUAGCGGUGAAAUGCGUAGAUAUUAGGAGGAACACCAGUGGCGAAGGCGGCUUACUGGACUGUAACUGACGUUGAGGCUCGAAAGCGUGGGGAGCAAACAGGAUUAGAUACCCCGGUAGUC